rnacentral:rRNA from 1 species
CUGCCCUGCAAAUGGGGAUAACUCCGGGAAACCGGGGCUAAUACCGAAUAAUAAGUACCUCCGCAUGGAGGAACUUUGAAAGACGGCAUCUAGCUGUCACUGCAGGAUGGGCCCGCGGCGCAUUAGCUAGUUGGUGGGGUAACGGCCUACCAAGGCGACGAUGCGUAGCCGACCUGAGAGGGUGAUCGGCCACACUGGGACUGAGACACGGCCCAAACUCCUACGGGAGGCAGCAGUAGGGAAUCUUCCACAAUGGACGAAAGUCUGAUGGAGCAACGCCGCGUGAGCGAAGAAGGUUUUCGGAUCGUAAAGCUCUGUUGUGAGGGANNNACAAGUACGGGAGUAACUGUCCGUACCUUGACGGUACCUCAUUAGAAAGCCACGGCUAACUACGUGCCAGCAGCCGCGGUAAUACGUAGGUGGCAAGCGUUGUCCGAAAU